UACGUAGGGGGCUAGCGUUGUCCGGAAUCAUUGGGCGUAAAGCGCGUGUAGGCGGUCCGGUAAGUCCGCUGUGAAAGUCGGGGGCUCAACCCUCGGAUGCCGGUGGAUACUGUCGGGCUCGAAUCCGGAAGAGGUGAGUGGAAUUCCUGGUGUAGCGGUGAAAUGCGCAGAUAUCAGGAGGAACACCAAUGGCGAAGGCAGCUCACUGGGACGGUAUUGACGCUGAGACGCGAAAGCGUGGGGAGCAAACAGG
rnacentral:rRNA from 1 species